GGCCGGGGAGCAGCCGGGGAUCGAACCAGCGCCGUAGAGGCCGCGGGCAGGUUCGCAACCCAGCGCUCAACUGCUGCGCCACCGGGGAGGCCCCCUCCAUAACUUUUUGUCCCUAAUGUUUCCAUCAGCUGAACUGGUAGUUUUUUCGCCAUGCUUCCAAAAAGUGAAUGGAAAUUCAUUUUGAAAGAAGAGUAGUUGUCAUUAAUAGUUGUGAAAACUUGGCAGGCCAGACUGUUUUUCUUUUUAAAAGGAAUGUUAAGAUAUCCCAAUUAAUUGUUUCUCUGAACAAGAAAGUCCCCCAAAUAAUAGUUUAACCUGUAAAACACAGAAACAAGGCUCUUGGGGAGAAGCUGUAGAAUCGUGUCCCCUCAGCCUCCUGAUGUUCUGUUCCGCAAGGAGAUGGAUGGGCCUCGUGGGCUGGUACAUCUGUCCGCCCCUGAGCUCUUCCUUGGGUUUCCUGUACAGUCCGCGGCGCUUCGCCUCUUCCUGUGCUGCACUUCCUUGGGCUCUUGUUUUCUUGUUUAAAGAACCAGCUCUGUCUCCUUUUGAGGUUGAGCUAUAUUAUUUCUCAUACUUCUGGGGCAAAAUCAAGCAUAUCAAACACUUGUAUUUGCAUGGAAAAGUAGGUUUUAUAAGGGCUUCCACUUUACAUUUGCAAAAUUUGAACUAGAUAAUGUGUCUUCCACAUGGUUUGUUAUGCAUGGAGGUUUGGUUUAAUUACGGUUUGCAGCUGUUAAUCCAGAACAUGAUAGGGAUCAGCAUCACAGGGGGACGACUUGUUUCAUACCAGCCUUAAUUGUAGCGCCGUGGACCUGUUAGGUCUGGCGCUUUACCUUUUUGCAGGCUGAGAAUUCCAGAGUUUGUUAGUCUCCUCCUGGAGCGAGCUCCUGUGUUGGAGGCCGUCUUUCCCCCAAGGACUGUCUUCUUUCUUAUCCAGCAUUCCCAAUUCUUGAUGGGAGUGAGUGAAAAGCCGAUUUAGCAGAGAACUGUUGGUGGCAUGGAAUCAAUUAUUUAAGUCUGUUUUAUCUAGGCCAGGGUUGAACCUGAUGAGUUUUUCCUGGUAUUAAUCUGUAUACCUUCUUGGCGAUUAGAGAGACUUUCUGCCUCUCAUAUUUCAAAGUCAUGGUUACAUUUAAUAGUUCUACUUUCUGGGCCUCCCCGGUGGCGCAGCGGUUGAGCGCUGGGUUGCGAAGCUGCCCGCGGCCUCUGCAGCACUGGUUCGAUCCCCGGCUGCUCCCCGGCCACCGAAGGAGGGUCCCACAUGGAGCGCAGACCUCUCCUGCCGCCCGCUGCUCCCCUCAGCAGUGUACUUCGGUCCUUCUGCCUGUUCUGCUCCCCACUCUGGCUCUGGUGAAUUCUCUCACCCUCCCGCGCUUCUGACUGUACCCAGUGCUUGUACAAAUAAAUAAGUAAAUAAAUAAACAAACAAAAAAACAAGAGAGUUCUCCUUUAAAAAAAAAAUAGUUCUACUUUCCAGCUUUUCCCUAGGGUUUAGACAUCUUUGACCUUUAAUUUGUCUUGGGGCCCUUAGUCACCCUUUGUUUUGUGAGUGUGCGUGUGUGUGUGUGUGUGUGUGUGUGAGAUUAAGAUUUUUUCUGCUGACAACAGUAACCUAUUUUCACAUCAUGUUAUAAUUGGUUAUUUUAUCCAUGAACCCUACUUCUAGUGUAUGGAUUCUAUUUAAGUCAACACUUCCCAGCCUUUGCUCUUUUUACUAACUUGGUUAAAAUCUCAUCCCAAACAUUUUACUAUAGUAAAUAGUGGCGACAUUCUAUUAGUGCAUGUUUUAGGCAAAGACUAGUGGAAAACAUAGGUACAUUAGAAGAAAUAAACUAACAUUAAUAGUCAUUGAGUGCCAGCUCUGUCCCAGAUAACAUACCAAACUCUUCCCAAGAUAGUGUGAUCUUCAUCGAUAAAGCCCCACCUCAAAGAGAGGAAACUAAAGCUCGGUGAAGUUGAACAACUUGCCUGUAGACACAUCAACAAAUUAAGGGCUAAGGACUCAGACUGGUCUGACUUGCUCAGUGUGCCUUUCCAGUUUAUGGUUCUUCCAUUCUCCGGUGGAAAGGGUCUUAGGGAGUUUGAAAUGGCUGCCAGAAAGAGGAUGUGUUGUUGGGAUAGAGCAUUUUAAGGCAGAGCAAACACUCUGGAGUCUUGUUAACAGCAAUCCAGACAUGAAAUGGCGAGGUCUGGUGGACAGCUAGGGCAGUGAAGUGGAAGUUAAAGGGAUCAAUAGUCGCUGAUGGGCGUCCCUAACAGCACCCCGGGACCCUCCUCGCGCCUUCAAAGACUCGUGGAAGUUUGGCCAUAAACACAAGUCCUAAAGUUGUGUUGAAAGGCUUUUCAGAACCCCCUCGUUUAUCGUACUCCUACUGCAAUGGUAAAUAAAAGUAGUAAUUGCCUAAUUGGGCUAUUUUCUCUUUUACAUUGUCCACUGAGGGGCGGGCAUGCUUGUUUGUGGCUGUGUCCAUGUUGCCUGAGCAUAGGGAGGUCUUCGAGGUCAAAACUUCUCAUAAAACUCCUGUGCAGCUCGUCCUCACAGCUGCAGAGCGUGCGUACUGCGCAGUGACAGCAAGGAUGUGACGGAACGGUCCUGUGUAUUCUUCAGGUGUCCAGCGUUUCCUGAGGUGGUGAGGUUGAGGUCGUUAACUCUUAGUUUGUACCUUCUAUAAUCCCGGCAACUUUCAAUGUAGUGCAAUUAUUAUAGAAUUCUAUAGAUUUUUGUGUGCCUGAGCAUAAACAUGAAUGCUCUGCUGUUAUUCUUAGGCACUGUUUCAAAUAUUUCCUUAAGUUAUUUAGUCAAAACUUGCUAGAAUAACCAUUUUCUAAACUAAACAUUUUUCUUAAGCAUAGAUCUUUGGCUUAAGGAUUCUGAGUCCACUUGUUCAACCCAUAGCUACACCAUCUAUAUUUAAAAGGGGUACGGAGUUAAUUCUCUCACAGUUCACUUGUCUCACAGGGAAAAUUAGCUGCAAAGAAACUAGAAGAAAAGCUUGCUGAAGUGUCUUACAGGUAAGUCAGUACCUGAUAUUGGCUGGAGAGCACGCUCAGUGGCUGAGGAACGACAAAAAGCUGUGUUGCUGAUACAGCCAAUGCUGGCUAAGAAGUAAAUCACAGGCGUGAUUUUUGUCAUUAAAGAUAAUUUAUGGAGACACGCAGUCUGCCAUCGUGGCUCGUGCACAUGUGUGCUUCUGCCUUGCAACUGGAUGAGUCUGCAAACAUGGCUGGGCUUGUUACUUGCGUUUGUUUAGUAUCCACUGGCCAAAGAAAGACUGAUGUACAAGUUGGCCCCAGACAUGUCCUGAAAUAGUGUUGAAAAGCUCUGUAGAACCUCCCGCUAAAGCUACUGGCAUCGUGGCAAGCGGCGCCCACCUGCUAGUCACUGUCCACUGCAGUGCCUUGCAGUACAGACCAGUCAUACCGGAGAACACCCCUGUGAAGACAGUGAAAAUCAGAUCUGGACCCUGAGCACGCUAACGUGAGGGUGAAAUGGGGAGCUGCAGGCGGUCCUUAGGCUAGUUGCCUUGGUAGCUUUUUCAAGAAAAUGCCUUGCUGCACUUGUGUUCCAAGCUGAAUCUGCUGUUUUCUUAGACCACCAUUUUUACUUGAAAAAAUGUUAAAUUUAGGUUCUUAGAUUUGGCUAUUUGGCAGACAUUUUUUUUACUAUGAAGGCAAUGAACAUUUCAAGGAAGGAAACUGACAGCAAUUAAGCUAAAACUCAAACUUUGAAGUGAAAAUUAGAAUUUUGGGAACACUUCCGGAGCUUUAGGUUUUCCAGCGCUGCUUGUUUUUAUGAGCCGGUAGUGUGAGCAGUAUGACUCUAAAAUAUAUCAGGAGCUAGACAAAACUUAAAAGGUUUAUGAAACUAAGUGAACCAACACUUCCAAGUGACCAGUGCAACUACACAUAAUCUAAGCCAAUUGAAUGUAAAAAAUAAAAAUACACCUGCCGUCCGUUAAGGCAGACAUUUUAAAAAAUGUGAAAUAAUGCCAUUGUUGGAAAUAAUAAGGCAGUGCAUUUUUGCUUUUCCUAUUUUGAGUUCUUAGGUGGGAAAAUACUGGUAAAUAGUUGCCUGGGCCCUCAGUUUUAAAGAGUAUGAAGAGGACUCGAGACCAGGAAGUUUGAGAGAACAGCUGUUGCUCACAUUGAACACACUAAAGUCUCCACUGCCUGUUGAAUAGCUGGGGGGUUUGAAGUCGCCCCCAGUAGUCAGCCUGGGUCACGGGGAUGGGCGAGCUGGGCCAUAGGUUAGGCCAUAGGUUGGGCCAUAGAUAGGUUGUGGUGAAUAAAGUGGGUGCCUGUUGAGUCUGAGGUGGGACAUACAGGGGUGACUGUAGUUGGAAAUUUCUAAUUUGGGGUUGUAGAAAAUGGAAAUAUCAUUCUAGUGAAAAUUGCUUCUGUCAUAAAAUAGAUCAUAUUAUAGCUACAAAUUCAGGACUGCUCAGCAAGCAACCUUGAGGCAAAAGGGUGUGACAGAGCCUUUAACAUUGUACACAUUUAAAAGUUUUGGUCCAGCAGAGAUCUUUGUGGUGUUUUUCUUGAACUGUUAAAAAAUUAGCAGGCAGGACCAUUUAGAAUUUUUAAACUUUGACCCUGUUCUCUCUGAAAUUCCCACCUAACCCUCACCUGAACCUGGAAGAGGCUGCGGACAAAGUACUGUAGUAUCAAGGUGUGAAGCCCUACUCCCAAAAUACAGUAUUAUAAACCAGUGGAAAAUCAAUAAAAUGUUACUUUUUAAAAAAAGAGUGGUGGUAUACUUUUUUCCUCCUAGCUCUCACAAUACUUGGACACUUUAGGUACUUUGUAAACCUUUCAGCAUACUUAACCCCUCCCUACCCCCUAAUCUUCAACUUUCGGUCCUUGCAGUUGCGAUCUGAGCCAUAGCUUUCAUGAGGGGCCAGAGUCUACAGAGCUGGUUCUUUCCUGGAAGAUUCAUUACCACACUGAAAGAAUGCUUAAAUAAGUUUCCCUUCUAUCCAUAACACACUGCUAGUCUCUGGGAGGUACCUUUUUUACUUGCUAUACUUAUAAAAUCCCUGUGUUUACAUCCAAAGUACAGUGACUGGUUCAUGAGUCAUUUUGUCUGCAGGUUGCUACAGGUUGCCUUUUCUGUGUCUACACGUUCCCAGGGUGCUGGAGCCCGCUUGAAAGCUAUACUCUCUCAAAGAACCUAAGAGGAUUAAGAAGCAAACUCCCACUUUAUAGAAAUGAAAUCACCUUUCCCCAGUUGAUGCUUACGUCUUCAAUUAUCUCUUCUGUCAACUCUACCAAUCUGUUACAGUAAAGGGACUCACCAGUGUGUAAUUCUCAGCCUUUUCUGUAAUCCACAAUCAAUCUAGUCCCUGGCUAUUUGUAGUCUAGAGCAUUCUGGAUAUCUCCCCUGCCUAUCUAAAAGCUAAAGGAAAAUCAUUACCUCUAUUGGGAUUGCCCCUGUUCCACACAUUGGAUCAACUAUGAUAUCAGUAGGUUGAGGUACACAGAGCCUGUGGAAAAGAAAACAGCCUGUAAGAGCGGACGUCACUGACAGCCGAGGCCUCCACAGCGACUGUUUCUGAAGUUACAAGGUCAAGGACCCAUUACACUAGCAGGACGGAACUUGGGUCAAUAUUCAUUGUAAAUGUCCAUUUGUAAUUACAUGUUGCCUGUGUAUUCUAGAGCUUAAAAAAAAUUACAUACAACGAAAAACCCACUUUGAUUAUACUUACAAUCCCACUUCCCUACUAGAUGGAAUUUAGCCUCUAGACCUUUGCCUGCAUGUGUGUUUGCAUGUAUAUAUAUAUACACAGAUGCUUUAGAAAGCAGUGUUAUUUUGUUUGCAAACCUGUUACAUUAAAAAAUACUCAAACAAGUUGCCAAUAAAACAUGUAUUGAUGUAAGUUUAGUGGCAAUUAGAGAUUCAGUAUUCCUUUCCUUGUAAAUUUAAUUUUAAGAUAAUCUCGCUAUAAAACAAUUGCUUUACUUUGAGCACUUACUAUUUGUCAGGCAUGGAUUUAGGUUGUUUAGAUGAAUUCCUGGGCCAAUUAUCUGAACACUGUGAGAUAAGUUACUUUUAUUCUUCCCAUUGUUUAAACAAGUCGAUGCAAAACUUGUCCAUGGACACAAAACUAAUAGGGGACCUAGAGUCAAGAUGAAAGGGGUCCCUCUCAGUGACUUGACAUUACCCCAUCUGUGAAGCGGCCCCUCCUCACACAGGUCACAACGUUCCUCUUCCCUUCAUUUGUUCUGCUAAUCUUUUCGUGAUCUAUGCGAUGUGCUACAUGUAAAGCAACUAUUUAUCUCCCUGACAAGACUGGGAGUCUUGGGGAUUAACCCUGGAUUCUUCUUGUGACACCUGCCCAGCUCGGGGGACCCCCCACCACAUUCCUGCUGCUCAACAUAGGGCAAACGGCUCUCUCAGUGGCCCUGCUGGGAGUGAGCAACCUGGUCCUCCCAGCCACUGCUGCUGGGGCCAGCGCGCAGCCUUGACUAAAACUACGUCAGUCAGCUUUUCUCUCCCAAAAAUUUGAAAUGAAGAGCUAGAAGCUGUAGCAGAAUAGGUUGAUCAUUUGAAAAUGGAAACAGAUAAAUUUAGAUGAGGGGCAGCCAAGUGCACAGAUGAACAGAGACAAGAGCCCAGAGCUCCCAGAAGAGACAAAAGUGACAGCUCGGUUGCGAGGGGGUUUUCCAAGAUCUGAUUCCUUUCCUGCUUGAGUCAUGGCUUUCAGUUUUUCUGUGGCUUCCCCAAGAUCUCUCCGUAUCUUUCCAAUAAAUCUUCCACCACAAGUCAUCACUUUGUAAAUCUUAAACUAGCUUGCUCAGGUUUCUAAGAGUUGUAUCCACAGUAACGCUCUGCUUCCCGGGCUCCUGCCUUAAUGCGCAGCAGUAGAUAAAAAAUGUGUGUUAAAUGAAGACUAGGAGCUUGUCUUUAAUGAACCCAGUUUUCUAUUGCUACUGAACUGACAGGUUUCCAAUUGCGUUGAACUUAACUCCAUGGAUGAGCAGGAUUAAAAAGGAAGCAAAGAUUGGAAGCAAAAAAAUAUAAAUGACUACCAGGAUAUGCAGGGACUAUAAUUAGUUCUUAUUCUGUAUUUAAUCCUUACUAAUAAACCUUUGAGUCUCACAUCAAAACCAUUCUGCAGUCUGGAAGACAAAAACCAAGAAAAGAUAAGCUUGUCCGAAUAGAAGAACCCAAUAAAAGGGAGGAAGGCAAAGGACAAAUAAAUCGAGGUCUUGCUCUUGGAAAGGUGGAACAUUCCAGAAUGAUUCCUGCAUUGCUGUGAUGAUAAAAUGUAAAAAUAUACAUAAAAGCUCUCUGUAUUCACUUACACAUUAAACAGAUUUAAAAUACCUCGGUUUCAUUUGCUUUACUACUCUGAAAAGAAAGAAAGCAAACUUUGCUCUAUCUAACAACAUACAGUACAGCCCUCCUACUCAUAAUUGUGGCAACCCCAUUCAAAAGGCAAUGAGAACUGUUCUUCCCAUUUUAAAAUCAGACAACUGAGAUAGUAAUUAAGUAAUAGUUUCAGGAUCACAAGCAAUCAAUAUUGGAUAGAGGUGAAAGAAAUAGACAAAGUUUUUUAUCCUGUUCUUCAGGCACUAAAUUCCAUCACAGUACCUCACAAAACAAAGUGUUUUCAAGGCAAAAUUCAAAUCAAAGGGUCACUUCAAUGUAGACA